rnacentral:rRNA from 1 species
AGCGAACGCUGGCGGCAGGCCUAACACAUGCAAGUCGAACGAAGCCUUCGGGCUUAGUGGCGGACGGGUGAGUAACACGUGGGAACGUACCUUUUGGUUCGGAACAACUCAGGGAAACUUGAGCUAAUACCGGAUGAGCCCUUAGGGGGAAAGAUUUAUCGCCGAAAGAGCGGCCCGCGUUAGAUUGGCUAGUUGGUGAGGUAAAGGCUCACCAAGGCUACGAUCUAUAGCUGGUCUGAGAGGAUGAUCAGCCACACUGGGACUGAGACACGGCCCAGACUCCUACGGGAGGCAGCAGUGGGGAAUCUUGCGCAAUGGGCGAAAGCCUGACGCAGCCAUGCCGCGUGAAUGAUGAAGGUCUUAGGAUUGUAAAAUUCUUUUACCAGGGACGAUAAUGACGGUACCUGGAGAAAAAGCCCCGGCUAACUUCGUGCCAGCCGCCGCCGUAAAAC